GGUUUACGAUAGUUUUUUUUUCUUUUGUUACCAGAAGGUCUUCAACAAGAGUGAAUGUGACACUCGAUAUUACCACAAGGUCUAUAUCAUAAGGUCUUCAACAAGAGUGAAUGCAUUACGAGACAGUUUUUUUUUCUUAAAUGUAAUGCAUUGAAAGGGAUGGGGCUGGCAAGUUAAAAAUCUGAUUUAAAGCUGACUUCUGA
rnacentral:lncRNA from 1 species